CAGUAGCCACGGGAAUACGUAGGUGGCAAGCGUUGUCCGGAAUUAUUGGGCGUAAAGGGCUCGCAGGCGGUUUCUUAAGUCUGAUGUGAAAGCCCCCGGCUCAACCGGGGAGGGUCGUUGGAAACUGGGAAACUUGAGUGCAGAGGAGGAGAGUGGAAUUCCACGUGUAGCGGUGAAAUGCGUAGAGAUGUGGAGGAACACCAGUGGCGAAGGCGACUCUCUGGUCUGUAACUGACGCUGAGGAGCGAAAGCGUGGGGAGCGAACAGGAUUAGAUACCCCGGUAGUCCCUGUCUCUUAUAC
rnacentral:rRNA from 1 species